AUAAAAAAAAAAAAAGUAGUGAUAUUCCUUCCAUCUAUAGCCUCAUCUCACGGAUCUUGCCCUUCAAUUUCUUUAAAUCCCCUCACCUUUGCCUUCCAAUUUUUCAAUAAUCUUUUAUUUAAUUCCAAAAAUACAUACACAUAAUAAUCCUCUUCAUUGAAGUAUAUAAGACCUAGAAUAUAGAGUAGUUAUUAGCAAGCUAAGGAGGCUCAAUAAGGCAUCAACUUGGUUCAUCAAAGGCUUCUUCAUUUAUUAUUACAUCAAACUAGAGUUAAAGGCUCAAUAUCCAAAUAUGGCGUCUUGGAAGAAAACCAUCACAACCCCAUUCAAAAAAGCUCGCACUUUCUUUAACCAGCAACCACCGAGGGACCACCAUCAUAAUAAGAAGUCUCAAACAGAACAAGAGAACCGUGUUGUGAUGGAUCUGCACGGUGAAGUCAUGGCUUGUGGCUAUGAAGAUGUUCAAGUUAUGUGGUCAAUUCUUGAUAAGUCCAAAUCCAACACCUGCAAUAUAACAUCCUCAUAACAAGAAUUAAAAGGAAAAAAUAGUAGCUUGAGUCAAAAUUGCAAUCAUACUAGCUUGAGUUAGCUAUUUAUAGCUGUGAAGAAUGACUCUGGAAUCUGGUAUGAAAGUAAUUAUUCUCAUUGUAGAAAAAUGAAAAAAAAAAUUUGUAAUGUGUUAUUAGUAGGAGUUUAAUUUGAUAGGAUAUUAGUGCCCCUUGUCUUUUGAUGAUGAUGGUGGUGGCACUUUCACUCUGUAAUGAUUUUUGCAAGUGAAGAUGUUAUUGUAAUAGGCAAUCCCCAUGAUUGGUUAGUGCAAAAUCAUGGUGAGAUUUUUUAUGAAAAUGUAGGUCCCUUCUCUCUAUCUCUCUCUCUCUCUCUUAUUUGCAACCCUCAAGUUUCAUCCUUUUUGGUAAUCAUUUUUCUCUUUGCAUCUUGUCACUUUUGAUGGUUCUGUUGAGCAUGACUAUUUAAAUGAUUCUACAUGAGAUCUUAUAUGUCAUGAUUUCAUUGCCAGAAGAAUCAGUUAGCAAAACUUAAAAGGUUUAACUACUCUCUCUAUAUAUCUAUAUUUUACUCAACUUGUAAUUGCAUUUGUUAUAAUUUAAAUUUGCUAAUAUCUCCGUAUAUAGAUAAUACAAAAAGAAAUCUGAUUUAAGUUCAUAUUCCAAAGCAUCAGACUAACUUUAGAAGAUACAAUUAUUUUACUUGGAGACCUCUAUACUUAUCAAGUUGUCUCUCAAUUAUUUUCUUUUCUCUGAGUACAUGUGUUUAUUAGUUAAAUAAUCUAGUCAAAUAUAUUCCAAAUAACUAAGUCAAAUUCGGUAAUUUAGUUGGAGAAAUAGAAUAUAUAUUUGGAUUUAAUUCUUUUCUUUUUUUGUCAACUAAAAUCCUAUGCUUCUUGCAUACACAAAAAAAAAAACCCCUACCAGUGGAACAAAGCCCAGAGUUGCCUUGCAACUUUAUAACAAAAGUGUGUGUAGACUGUCCUUACCAAAAAAAAAAAAGUGUGUGUACACUGUAGAUAGACAGGCAUAUAAAUUUGAGAUAUAAUUAUUUAAAAUUAGAGGUAGUCCAGUCUCUCAGACAAAAGUAACACACAUAUAUUUUCUGGGUCCAUCUAGUAUACAGACGUAUUUUUGUACAGAUUUACAAAUUUUUGUUUUUAUUGCAUUUUUUGUGAACGCGUGGCGUUUCUCUUUGGCUGAAAGCAGGUAGGUGUGAGGAAGCUGGCGAGGCUCAUUAGAGGUUUGGGUGAGCCGGCUGGAUAGCGUGAGUGAGAACGGGAUUUUGCUGUUAAGGGUUCCGUUGGUGCCUUUGUUGGGCCUUUUGGUUUGUUCCCAAAAAAGAGUGGGUAUAAUCCAAGAAGUGGGUUCUCUCGGUCAGUCUUCUCCUCCCAUCAAAGGAAACCCUAUCACCGUUAACGAAGAACGCCACCGCAAGUCUCGUAACUCUCUCUGUGCUCGGCGAUUGGCUACUGCAUCUGUUCCGGGUGCUCCCUCCUGUUCAACGAGUUAUCCACGGACGCCAAUCUCCAGGUUAUGCCUCAUACCCAGAGAUCCGUAGUGCUCACGGAAGUCGUGUUGGUCCGGUGCGCCAGUUGCGCAGUCAAUCCUGUUGCUGGUCCUCCACCGUGCUUGGCAGUCGAACGUAACAGUUGCUCGGCCCACUGAAUGAUCAGCUUUGAGUGUUGGCAUCGAAACGUGAUCAGGGUACUUUCCUCCAACAAUUUCACAGGAGAGCUACCUGCAACAGUUGCCAACCUCAGUUACUUACAGUAUAUUUUACCUGGCGAUAAUCACUUCUGUGGAAAGAUUCCUGAUUUUAUUGAGAGCUGGAGAAGUCUCAAAAUAUUAAAAAUUACAGGAAGUGGACUAAGUGGGCCGAUUCCUUCUGGUAUUUCAAAAUUGAGCAACUUAAGUGACUGGGGAUCAAGUGAUUUGAGUGGAUCUGAAAUUUCAAGUUUCCCCGAACUUAGUACUAAGUCGAUGAAAUGUCUGUGAGUAGUUGAUAUGUUUGAAUCUUUAAAAAGUGGAAAGUAAAAAUAAUGAAAAAAAAAAGGUUAUUCACAGUACCAUGAUUGUGUUUGUGAUGAUUUCACAGGAUUUUAAGGAGUAGCAACAUUCAUGGAACACUUUAAAGGAUCUAGAACUGCGACAAUAAUAUGUGAGACAUAAAAAAUGACUAGUUUAUUAUGGAGUCUUGGCUAAUUUAGAGGCUGUUAACAUAUUCUUGAUUAUUUAUCUUUUUGAUUGUUUUAUAUGCUAUCAGUUAAAUUUACUUCUUAAAAGGUUUCUUUAUAGCGUUUGUUUGAUGAACAGCUUCCUUUAUUUUGUUGCCUCUUCCAUUUAUUGGGAAUGACCUUCUAUCCCUUGUAUAUACUAUAAGAUCCCCUUUGCGUCAAAAAGAGUGAGCUGUUGUGAAACUAAGGAGUUGUACCACCCUAUUAAG